rnacentral:rRNA from 1 species
AGAUUGAACGCUGGCGGCAUGCCUUACACAUGCAAGUCGAACGGCAGCACGGGAGCAAUCCUGGUGGCGAGUGGCGAACGGGUGAGUAAUACAUCGGAACGUGCCCAAUCGUGAGGGAUAACGCAGCGAAAGCUGUGCUAAUACCGCAUAAGAUCUACGGAUGAAAGCAGGGGAUCGCAAGACCUUGCGCGAAAUGGAGCGGCCGAUGGCAGAUUAGGUAGUUGGUGAGGUAAGGCUCACCAAGCCUUCGAUCUGUAGCUGGUCUGAGAGGACGACCAGCCACACUGGGAUGAGACACGGCCCAGACUCCGUGGCGGGAGGCGAGCGAGGUGGGGGUAAGUUUAGGACAAGUGGGACCGGAAAGUCCCGUGACUCCGAACGCCGAA